CAGCCGCCGCGGUAAUACGUAGGGUGCGAGCGUUAAUCGGAAUUACUGGGCGUAAAGCGGGCGCAGACGGUUACUUAAGCAGGAUGUGAAAUCCCCGGGCUCAACCUGGGAACUGCGUUCUGAACUGGGUAACUAGAGUGUGUCAGAGGGAGGUAGAAUUCCACGUGUAGCAGUGAAAUGCGUAGAGAUGUGGAGGAAUACCGAUGGCGAAGGCAGCCUCCUGGGAUAACACUGACGUUCAUGCCCGAAAGCGUGGGUAGCAAACAGGAUUAGAUACCCGGGUAGUCCCUGUCUCUUAUAC
rnacentral:rRNA from 1 species